UAGAGCAUGCUUGUACAAAGA
rnacentral:miRNA from 1 species